GCGUCGGUAGUGCAAUUGGUUAGCACGCGCCUUCAAGAAGGGUGAAAUGCUGAUUCGAUUUUCGUCUGAUGUU